UACAGAGGGUGCGAGCGUUGUUCGGAAUUAUUGGGCGUAAAGGGCGCGUAGGCGGCGCCACAAGUCACUUGUGAAAUCCCUGGGCUCAACUCAGGGGGGUCGGCCGAUACUGCCAUUCUUGAGGGAUGCAGAGGAGACUGGAAUUCCCGGUGUAGCGAUGAAAUGUGUAGAGAUCGGGAGGAACACCGGUGGCGAAGGCGGGUCUCUGGGCAUUCCCUGACGCUGAGGCGCGAAAGCGUGGGGAGCAAACAGG
rnacentral:rRNA from 1 species